rnacentral:rRNA from 1 species
UACAGAGGAGCCAAGCGUUGUCCGGAUUGACUGGGCGUAAAGCGCACGCAGGCGGCAUCGCGCGUGGGGUGUGAAAUCUGGCCGCUUAACGGCCAGGCGCCAUCCCAUACGGCGAGGCUGGAGCGAUGCAGAGGUCGGUGGAAUUGCCGGUGUAGUGGUGAAAUGCGCAGAUAUCGGGAGGAACACCAAUGGCGAAGGCAGCUUGCUGGGACGGUACUGACGCUGAGACGCGAAAGCGUGGGGAGCAAACAGG